rnacentral:lncRNA from 1 species
CUCAUGGCUAAAACACAGGCUGUUGGAGAAGCUAGUCUUUCUCUACUUGGCUUGGGGCUACCAGGCCCUGUGGCUCAGAUGAAGGGCUGAUGAAAGGUGAGAGGGGCAUUAACGCUCAGCUCCCUGGAGGGGGUCCAUUUUCUCCAUGGGCCUGACCACAGAGAUGCCUGCCAGGAGCUUUUCACAGCGAACAAACAUUGUUUAUGCAGCUGUGAUUCCUUAAAUGAAAACGGACUUUCAAGCCUGAUGUAUCUUUGUUUCGAAGACAUUUUUAAAGGAGAGCUCUUUCCUGCAUUUGUGGAGGGAGUACUUAUUGAGGCAGACUCCGCCUAAUUAGGAACAAUCUCAUGCAUUCGAUCGGAAAGGAAGAAAGAAAGAAAAAAAAAGUCUGGCCCUGUUAAGUGUUUCCAUCUUGGGUUAGAGGCCUCGUGUAAAGCAGCUUCUUCCCUGGCCCGAAUGGCCUUCGCUGUGGAGACUGAAGAAAACCAUGGCUGGCUGGUUCCAAACCCUGAUGACCCCCGUGAGGAGAAUUACAGCCCAAACUUGGGGGCACUGAUCUCACUGCAUCCUGGCAGAUAAUGAAGGCACUGAUAACAUGGUACCUGGCACAAGGUGAGU